ACAUAAUUUUGGUCCUAAACUUACUGUUGUUUUUUAUUAAAUUUACACAUGCAAGCAUCAACGCACCCGUGCAUUUGCCCAACUCUUACCUAAAACUAAGACUGGAGCUGGUAUCAGGCACACUCUUUGUAGCCGAAAACACCAAGUAUUUCCACACCCCCACGGGCCUCAGCAGUGAUAGACAUUAAGCAAUAAGCGCUCUCUCAAGCUUGACUUAAUUAGAGUAAAAUUGAGCCGGUAAAUUUCGUGCCAGCCACCGCGGUUAUACGAAAGGCCCAAAACAACAGUCUUCGGCGUAAAACAUGACUAGAUAUUUAAAACUUGAAGUCAAAACAGGAGUUAAGCUAUAAAAUGCAAAAACUCUUCAAAAUCAUAUAGCUUCAUAUUAUUGACUCAUGAAAGCUGGGACACAAACUAGGAUUAGAUACCCUACUAUGCCCAGCCGUUAACCUUGACUAUAUUACUACAAAUAGCCCGCCAGAGAAUUACAAGUGAAAACUUAAAACUCUAAGGACUUGACGGUUUCCCAUAUCAAACUAGAGGAGCUUGUCCUAUAAUCGAUAAUCCACGUUGUACCCGACCCUUUCUUGUUAAACUCUUCCGCCUAUAUACCGCCGUCAUCUUGCUUACCUCUUGAGGGUAAUAAAUGUAAGCCCAAAUGUCUUUCACAAAAACAUCAGGUCAAGGUGUAGCUAAUGAAAGGGAAGUGAUGAGCUACACUCUUUAAAAUAAAGACUACGAACUAGUAACUGAAAUCUUACUUACAGGUGAAUUUAGUAGUAAAUUAAACUAGCAUAUUUAAUUGAAUCUUGCUCUGGGAUGCGUACACACCGCCCGUCACCCUCAUUAUAACACUAUAAUAUAUUAAAUAAUUACUAAUUGUUUAAAAAAUGAGGCAAGUCGUAACAUGGUAAGCGUACUGGAAAGUGUGCUUGGACA
rnacentral:ncRNA from 1 species